GGGGCUGUAGCUCAGUUGGUAGAGCGGCAGCUUUGCAAGCUGUAGGUCGGGAGUUCGAGUCUCCUCAGCUCCACCA
rnacentral:tRNA from 2 species